rnacentral:rRNA from 1 species
CGCACGGUAAACGAUGGAUGCCCGUUCUGCGGCCUUCGGGCCACGGGACCAAGCGAAAGCAUUAAGCAUCCCACCUGGGGAGUACGCCGGCAACGGUGAAACUCAAAGGAAUUGACGGGGGCCCGCACAAGCGGAGGAACAUGUGGUUUAAUUCGAUGAUACGCGAGGAACCUUACCCGGGCUUGAAUUGCAGACUAAGGUCGUGGAGACACGCCCGUCCUUCGGGAAGUCUGUGAAGGUGC